CGACAGAGUCAACUCGUUUUGCACUUUUCCUUGCUUGCCUGAUUUUUAGAUAAAUUUGCAAUUCUGAUCUAGUUUGCUUUUGCUCAUCCCUGCAUCUUUCCUUCUAAUCGAACCUGGGCCGGCUACGAUGUCGUCUCUCAGUAGAGAAUUGGUGUUCUUGAUUUUACAGUUUCUGGAAGAGGAAAAGUUCAAAGAGACUGUUCACAAGCUUGAACAAGAGUCUGGGUUUUUCUUUAAUAUGAAAUAUUUUGAGGAUGAAGUGCACAAUGGCAAUUGGGAUGAGGUUGAAAGAUAUCUCU